rnacentral:rRNA from 1 species
GGAUUGCCCCAGUAACGGCGAGUGAAGCGGCAUCAGCUCAAAUUUGAAAUCUGGGGCCCCAGGCCUCCGAGUUGUAAUUUGGAGAGGCAUCUUCGGGGAGGGGGCGCGGGCCCAUGUUCCUUGGAACAGGACGUCGCAGAGGGUGAGAAUCCCGUGCCAGGCCGGCUGCCUCCGCCCCAGUGAAGGGCCUUCGACGAGUCGAGUUGUUUGGGAAUGCAGCUCCAAGUGGGUGGUAAAUUUCAUCUAAAGCUAAAUACCGGCGGGAGACCGAUAGCGCACAAGUAGAGUGAUCGAAAGAUGAAAAGCACUUUGAAAAUAGAGUCAAAAAGUACGUGAAAUUGUUGAAAGGGAAGCGCUUGAGACCAGACUCGGACCCGGGCAAACAUCGCGCCCCCCGGGGCCGUGCAAUUGCCUGGGGCCGGGCCAGCAUCGGUUGGCGUGGCGGGACAAAGGCGCGGGGAAUGUGGCUCCCCUCGGGGAGUGUUAUUAGGCCCGCGUCCAAUGCCGCCUACGCCGACUGAGGACCGCGCCGCCCGGCUAGGAUGCUGGCUUAAUGGCCUUCAGCGACCCGUCUUGAAACACGGAC